rnacentral:lncRNA from 1 species
UUCAUCUUGUAAACAGCAGCAUUCUAAAACACUCUAUUCCUUACAGGAUAUUUUACUUUUACCUGGAUGCCAUGGUACCUGACUACUCCUCAGCCACAGCAAAUUAUGUAACAUAUACCAGCUGAUCCAAGCUGUGGAACAAAAAAAAUCCUGAAGAAAAUCUAAGGAAUGAAAUGCUGGCAAGGAACUCUCGCAAAUAAAUGGUUUGCCAUUCAAGAGCGAAGGAAAUGAAUGGAAGUCCUAGGGCUGGUAGAAAGUGUCUGUGCAAACCACAUACCUGCCACAAAAUCUGAAGUAAUAGUAGAAGAUGGAUACACCAGGCCAGGUCUCCUUAGAGUGGCAGCUGAAUAACGUGUAAGAGGAGUGGCCACCAUGGGAGAGGCUGUUAAACCAUCUGCAGAGGUAAGUGAGCUCUCAGGAUGCUAGGAGGCCAGGCUUACAGCUUGGCUUCUGGCAUAACACAGCUUCAGAGGCAGCUCAAAGCAUAGACAAAGCUGGCUUAUAUCAGCAAAAGACAGUGUACAGACAAUCUUUGCCUCUGAAUUCAUACAUCUUUGCAGACGCCUAAUAUAAAUGAUCCAUUCCAGUGAUGCUGCGGAGUACUGGCCCUGUCUCCCUUCUGGCAUCGAACCUAGGCAGUGGUCCCAUCUGGAGCUGGCCUCUUCCCCGACUCUACGGGCCACCCCAGCGGGGGCGCAGGACACGCUGGUGUGGCGCAGCGUGGCAGCGGAGGCACUUCUCUGCGCAUCGGUUUACCCCAGGCUUGGAGGACUGAGUUACUUAUUGGCUGGUUGCUGGCAGGCCACAGUUUACGGGGUGGUUUUUGGAGUAGAGAAGCUUCCUGAUCAGAUUCAACCCUGCCUUGUGCCUCCAGCAACAGUUGAAUGGCAUCCCUGGUUAUCUUCCUCUGCUGUCAAGGCGAGAUGUAUGUAACUCUGUUGGAUGGAUGUAUUUUGUUAUGCUUGUUUUCUUUUAGGGCAAGAGAGCCAUAAGGUACUUUGCUCAUGCAGACUGAUGAGUGAACUACUAUUAGUCAGGUACCAGCCAUCUUUGGACAAAUUAAGGUUGUAUAAGAAUACUGAGGAGAAAUAACACAUCAGAGGAGGCUAGCUGCUUCUUGACUUAUGUCUUUGCUUUACUUUUCCACACAAAUCCGUGUACUCUUAUGUGAAAAUUAUGUAGAUACUCUGAUAUAAGGUAUUUCUGUAUGUGUUACGCAGGAAGUCAAGAUUACUUGAGUUACUUGAAGUUCCAUCUGAACCUGAGAAAAAACUUCUUCACUGUGAGGGUGACAGAGCAUUGGAACAGGUUGCCCAGAGAGGUGGUGGAGUCUCC